rnacentral:rRNA from 1 species
UACAGAGGGUGCAAGCGUUAAUCGGAAUUACUGGGCGUAAAGCGUGCGUAGGCGGUUACGUAAGUCGGGUGUGAAAGCCCCGGGCUCAACCUGGGAAUUGCAUUCGAGACUGCAUAGCUAGGGUGCGGAAGAGGGAAGCGGAAUUUCCGGUGUAGCGGUGAAAUGCGUAGAUAUCGGAAGGAACACCAGUGGCGAAAGCGGCUUCCUGGUCCAGCACCGACGUUCAGGCACGAAAGCGUGGGGAGCAAACAGG